GAUGAACGCUGGCGGCGUGCCUAAUACAUGCAAGUCGAGCGAACAGACGAGGAGCUUGCUCCUCUGACGUUAGCGGCGGACGGGUGAGUAACACGUGGAUAACCUACCUAUAAGACUGGGAUAACUUCGGGAAACCGGAGCUAAUACCGGAUAAUAUAUUGAACCGCAUGGUUCAAUAGUGAAAGACGGUUUUGCUGUCACUUAUAGAUGGAUCCGCGCCGCAUUAGCUAGUUGGUAAGGUAACGGCUUACCAAGGCAACGAUGCGUAGCCGACCUGAGAGGGUGAUAGGCCACACUGGAACUGAGACACGGUCCAGACUCCUACGGGAGGCAGCAGUAGGGAAUCUUCCGCAAUGGGCGAAAGCCUGACGGAGCAACGCCGCGUGAGUGAUGAAGGUCUUCGGAUCGUAAAACUCUGUUAUUAGGGGAGAACAAAUGUGUAAGUAACUAUGCACGUCUUGACGGUACCUAAUCAGAAAGCCACGGCUAACUACGUG
rnacentral:rRNA from 1 species